UACGGAGGGUGCGAGCGUUGUUCGGAAUCAUUGGGCGUAAAGCGCGUGUAGGCGGCUUGGUAAGUCGGGUGUGAAAGCCCGGGGCCCAACCCCGGAACUGCAUUCGAAACUGCCUCGCUAGAGUCCCGGAGAGGAAGGCGGAAGUCCCGGUGUAGAGGUGAAAUUCGUAGAUAUCGGGAGGAACACCAGCGGCGAAGGCGGCCUUCUGGACGGUGACUGACGCUCAGACGCGAAAGCGUGGGGAGCAAACAGG
rnacentral:rRNA from 1 species